CUACGUGCCAGCAGCCGCGGUAAUACGGAAGGUCCGGGCGUUAUCCGGAUUUAUUGGGUUUAAAGGGAGCGUAGGCCGUGGAUUAAGCGUGUUGUGAAAUGCAGGUGCUCAACGUCUGCACUGCAGCGCGAACUGGUCCACUUGAGUGUGCGCAACGCAGGCGGAAUUCGUCGUGUAGCGGUGAAAUGCUUAGAUAUGACGAAGAACUCCGAUUGCGAAGGCAGCUUGCGGGAGCACAACUGACGCUGAAGCUCGAAAGUGCGGGUAUCGAACAGGAUUAGAUACCCUGGUAGUCCGCACGGUAAACGAUGGAUGCCCGUUGUCAGGCUGUUUCAGCCUGGUGACCAAGCGAAAGCAUUAAGCAUCCCACCUGGGGAGUACGCCGGCAACGGUGAAACUCAAAGGAAUUGACGGGGGCCCGCACAAGCGGAGGAACAUGUGGUUUAAUUCGAUGAUACGCGAGGAACCUUACCCGGGCUUGAA
rnacentral:rRNA from 1 species